AUUAUUGGGCCUAAAGCAUCCGCUAGCCGGUUUUACAAGUCCUCCGCUUAAAUCCAACUGCUUAACAGAUGGGCCGCGGAGGAUACUAUAAGACUAGGAGGCAGGAGAGGCAAGCGGUACUCAGUGGGUAGGGGUAAAAUCCGUUGAUCCAUUGAAGACCACCAGUGGCGAAGGCGGCUUGCCAGAAUGCGCUCGACGGUGAGGGAUGAAAGCUGGGGGAGCNAACCGGAUUAGAUACCCGGGUAGUCCCAGCUGUAAACGAUGCACACUCGGUGAUGGACUAGCUUAAUGCUAGUCCAGUGCCGCAGGGAAGCCGUUAAGUCUGCCGCCUGGGUAGWACGGUCGCMAGACUGAAACUUAAAGGAAUUGGCGG
rnacentral:rRNA from 1 species